GUCCAGCCCCCACUGACCCUCUGCACCGAGAACAGAAGGAAAGACAGAAACACAUGUGACAGAAAACAAAGGAGGCACUAAGAGAGGUUAGGAAAUGUGUGGGAGGAAGAAAACACUCAAGCUGAAGAGAAAAAUAACACAAUAAGUUCCCACAGUCAGCUUCCUUGAGCCAUUUUACUCUCUUAUAUACCUGCGGAGCCACACCGCCAGAGCCACUGCAGGAAUCAAGAAGAGCCAGUAGGACAGCUUUUUCUACUGUGCAUUCACUCAGGCAAAUAAGAACCAGCAGAUAAGGCUCCACAGACAGAGACUCAGUGAUGAGAGGAAGGCAGACAAAACCACAGACAUGAGUGAACACAAAUGGCUUGUGAUGCAACAGAUAAACCUGCCUCCCGACUGACAGCCAACCCUCUGUUAGUUCUCUAAUGAUUACUGCUUCUUGAAGGAAACCUUUACACAGACGUUCAAAGAGCCUGCAAUCCGGUAGUUAAAGGGGAAAACAGAGAAAAAUAUGAUGCAGCAUUGUUCUUCACAGGUCGAGGCAGUCUGACCUGAGCUCUGAGAAAGCAGGAGAGGGAAAAAAAGCAAACAUCAAAGAAGAACGAAAGAGGAAGGAAGAAGGAAAAGAAUACAAAAAGAUGUGAGAAACAAAGAGAACUCUGGCAGUGUGCGACAAGCAUCCCUGCCUCUCAUUUCAAGGUCACUGUGAUGGAAAUUAUUGUCCUGCAGCCAGAGGCCUCAGUCCUUUUCAAGCCUGUGGAGUCAGGCCAGGCGGCCCGAGAUCCACGUAUUGGUGGGGAAGCUGUGAGAAAGUGCUUGGUCUGCAAACAGAAGGAAGGAGCCCGAAGCAAGAUCAGAUAAUCACAGUGCUGCAGUUGCUCAGAGUUGGGACAGAAAACUGAAUUUCUUUUUUUUUGAGACAAAAAUGCAAAUUUUACUUAUCUGGACCUAAAAAAAAUUAAAACAAUAAUACUAAAUAAAA